UGGUGGAGUGAUUUGUCUGCUUAAUUGCGAUAACGAACGAGACCUUAACCUGCUAAAUAGCCAGGCGAGCUUUGGCUCGUGGCCGGCUUCUUAGAGGGACUAUCGGCUCAAGCCGAUGGAAGUUUGAGGCAAUAACA
rnacentral:rRNA from 1 species